AGUGAACGCUGGCGGCGUGCUUAACACAUGCAAGUCGAACGAGAACGGGCUAUAGCUUGCUAUAGUUGUCAGCUAAGUGGCGCACGGGUGAGUAAUGUAUAGGUAAUAUGCCUCUUACUAAGGGAUAACAAAUGGAAACGUUUGCUAAUACCUUAUACUCCUUAUUAACAGAAGUUAAUAAGGGAAAGAUUUAUUGGUAAGGGAUUAGCCUGUAUUGUAUCAGUUAGUUGGUGGGGUAAUGGCUAACCAAGACUAUGACACAUAACUGGUUUGAGAGGAUGAUCAGUCACACUGGAACUGAGACACGGUCCAGACUCCUACGGGAGGCAGCAGUGGGGAAUAUUGCACAAUGGACGAAAGUCUGAUGCAGCAACGCCGCGUGGAGGAUGACACAUUUCGGUGCGUAAACUCCUUUUAUAUGAGAAGAUAAUGACGGUAUUAUAUGAAUAAGCACCGGCUAACUCCGUGCCAGCCGCCGCAGUAA
rnacentral:rRNA from 1 species